GAAAAUGUAGCUCAGUAAUAGAGUGCUUGUCUAGCAUUCAUGAGGUGCUGGGUUCAAUUCCCAGCACCAUCA
rnacentral:tRNA from 1 species